UUACGGCCAUAUCACGUUGAAACACCGGUUCUUGUACGAUCACUGAAGUUUAAGCAACGUCGAGCCGGUUCAGUACCUAGAUGGGUAACCGCUUGGGAAUACCAAGCGAUGUAA